GGUUCCAUAGUGUAGCGGUUAGCAUGUCUGCUUUAUAGGCAGAAGGUCCUGGGUUCAAACCCCAACGGAAUCA